rnacentral:rRNA from 1 species
GGACUACAAGGGUUUCUAAUCCUGUUUGAUCCCCACGCUUUCGCGCCUCAGCGUCAGUUGUCGUCCAGAUAGCCGCCUUCGCCACCGGUGUUCCUGCUAAUAUCUACGAAUUUCACCUCUACAUUAGCAAUUCCGCUAUCCCCUCCGACACUCAAGCUAAACAGUUUCAAAGGCAAUUCCACAGUUAAGCUGUGGGAUUUCACCCCUGACUUGAUUAGCCGCCUACGCGCGCUUUACGCCCAGUAAUUCCGAACAACGCUAGCACCCUUCGUAUUACCGCGGCUGCUGGCAC